rnacentral:rRNA from 1 species
AGACCCGAAACCCGGUGAUCUAGCCAUGGGCAGGUUGAAGGUUGGGUAACACUAACUGGAGGACCGAACCGACUAAUGUUGAAAAAUUAGCGGAUGACCUGUGGCUGGGGGUGAAAGGCCAAUCAAACCGGGAGAUAGCUGGUUCUCCCCGAAAGCUAUUUAGGUAGCGCCUCGUGAACUCAUCUCCGGGGGUAGAGCACUGUUUCGGCUAGGGGGCCAUCCCGGCUUACCAACCCGAUGCAAACUGCGAAUACCGGAGAAUGUUAUCACGGGAGACACACGGCGGGUGCUAACGUCCGUCGUGAAGAGGGAAACAACCCAGACCGCCAGCUAAGGUCCCAAAGUCAUGGUUAAGUGGGAAACGAUGUGGGAAGGCCCAGACAGCCAGGAUGUUGGCUUAGAAGCAGCCAUCAUUUAAAGAAAGCGUAAUAGCUCACUGGUCGAGUCGGCCUGCGCGGAAGAUGUAACGGGGCUAAACCAUGCACCGAAGCUGCGGCAGCGACACUUUAGUGUUGUUGGGUAGGGGAGCGUUCUGUAAGCCGUUGAAGGUGUCCUGUGAGGGGUGCUGGAGGUAUCAGAAGUGCGAAUGCUGACAUAAGUAACGAUAAAGCGGGUGAAAAGCCCGCUCGCCGGAAGACCAAGGGUUCCUGUCCAACGUUAAUCGGGGCAGGGUGAGUCGACCCCUAAGGCGAGGCCGAAAGGCGUAGUCGAUGGGAAACGGGUUAAUAUUCCCGUACUUGGUGUUACUGCGAAGGGGGGACGGAGAAGGCUAUGUUGGCCGGGCGACGGUAGUCCCGGUUUAAGCGUGUAGGUGUGUGUUCCAGGCAAAUCCGGUUCACUUUAACACUGAGGCGUGAUGACGAGGCACCACGGUGCUGAAGCAACAAAUGCCCUGCUUCCAGGAAAAGCCUCUAAGCAUCAGGUAACAUCAAAUCGUACCCCAAACCGACACAGGUGGUCAGGUAGAGAAUACCAAGGCGCUUGAGAGAACUCGGGUGAAGGAACUAGGCAAAAUGGUGCCGUAACUUCGGGAGAAGGCACGCUGACACGUAGGUGAAGUGAUUUACUCACGGAGCUGAAGUCAGUCGAAGAUACCAGCUGGCUGCAACUGUUUAUUAAAAACACAGCACUGUGCAAACACGAAAGUGGACGUAUACGGUGUGACGCCUGCCCGGUGCCGGAAGGUUAAUUGAUGGGGUCAGCGCAAGCGAAGCUCCUGAUCGAAGCCCCGGUAAACGGCGGCCGUAACUAUAACGGUCCUAAGGUAGCGAAAUUCCUUGUCGGGUAAGUUCCGACCUGCACGAAUGGCGUAAUGAUGGCCAGGCUGUCUCCACCCGAGACUCAGUGAAAUUGAACUCGCUGUGAAGAUGCAGUGUACCCGCGGCAAGACGGAAAGACCCCGUGAACCUUUACUAUAGCUUGACACUGAACAUUGAGCCUUGAUGUGUAGGAUAGGUGGGAGGCUUUGAAGCGUGGACGCCAGUCUGCGUGGAGCCGACCUUGAAAUACCACCCUUUAAUGUUUGAUGUUCUAACGUGGACCCGUAAUCCGGGUUGCGGACAGUGUCUGGUGGGUAGUUUGACUGGGGCGGUCUCCUCCUAAAGAGUAACGGAGGAGCACGAAGGUUGGCUAAUCCUGGUCGGACAUCAGGAGGUUAGUGCAAUGGCAUAAGCCAGCUUGACUGCGAGCGUGACGGCGCGAGCAGGUGCGAAAGCAGGUCAUAGUGAUCCGGUGGUUCUGAAUGGAAGGGCCAUCGCUCAACGGAUAAAAGGUACUCCGGGGAUAACAGGCUGAUACCGCCCAAGAGUUCAUAUCGACGGCGGUGUUUGGCACCUCGAUGUCGGCUCAUCACAUCCUGGGGCUGAAGUAGGUCCCAAGGGUAUGGCUGUUCGCCAUUUAAAGUGGUACGCGAGCUGGGUUUAGAACGUCGUGAGACAGUUCGGUCCCUAUCUGCCGUGGGCGCUGGAGAAUUGAGGGGGGCUGCUCCUAGUACGAGAGGACCGGAGUGGACGCAUCACUGGUGUUCGGGUUGUCAUGCCAAUGGCACUGCCCGGUAGCUAAAUGCGGAAAAGAUAAGU